rnacentral:rRNA from 1 species
UACAGAGGUGGCAAGCGUUGUUCGGAAUUACUGGGCGUAAAGGGCGCGUAGGCGGUCCUGUAAGACCCGUGUGAAAUCCCCCGGCUCAACUGGGGAAUGGCACGGGAGACUGCGGGGCUUGAGUUCGGGAGAGGGAAGCGGAAUUCCGGGUGUAGCGGUGAAAUGCGUAGAUAUCCGGAGGAACACCGGUGGCGAAGGCGGCUUCCUGGACCGACACUGACGCUAAGGCGCGAAAGCUAGGGGAGCAAACGGG